CGAACGCUGGCGGCGUGGAUAAGACAUGCAAGUCGAACGGGGUUUAGUUUGUAGUAAUACACGCUAAAUUCAGUGGCGAACGGGUGCGUAACACGUGAGUAAUCUGCCGGGAAGUGGGGGAUAGCUCGCCGAAAGGCGAAUUAAUACCGCAUAUGGCAAGGAGAGACAUCUUUCCAAAGCCAAAGUCGCAAGACGCUUCCUGAUGAACUCGCGGCCUAUCAGCUUGUUGGUGAGGUAACGGCUCACCAAGGCUAUGACGGGUAGCUGGUCUGAGAGGGCGACCGGCCACACUGGGACUGAGACACGGCCCAGACUCCUACGGGAGGCAGCAGUGGGGAAUAUUGCGCAAUGGGCGAAAGCCUGACGCAGCAACGCCGCGUGAGGGAUGACGGCCUCGGGUUGCAAACCUCUUUCAGCAGGGAAGAAGCGAAAGUGACGGUACCUGCAGAAGAAGCACCGGCUAACUACGUGCCAGCAGCCGC
rnacentral:rRNA from 1 species